AUUGAAUUCUGUACAUUCUUAAAUGAAGCAGCAUGCACUCAAACUGAGUGGAAUGUUUUGCUUUUGCAACAACAACAGAAAAAUUAUCAUAAUCUGUUAAUAUAGCUACUCUCAGUUACUGUUUAAUAAUCCAUUGCGUCCUCACGUGUAGAAGAACUUCCAGUAUUCACAUCAUGUUACCUCAUCUAGCAUAAGCCUGUUGAACUGCCCCUCCCCUUUUCUCCUUUUGCAUUAUAUGUCUUACUCUGUUUUGUAGAUAUUGUGAGAUUCUUGAAGCUUUGACCGCUUUUAGGUGAAGCUUCUAAUCCUCACACAUGUUUAUUUCAUUAGUACAGACUGCAAUUAUAGAAGCAUAACACUGACUGCAGGUCGUUGUGAGUCGUGAGCAACUGAAGUUGUAGUUUUCAUUUCUGAAAUUAAGAGUCUUCUAUAUUAAGACAGAACUGCAAUACAACUGUUUCAACAGGGUUUGUAAGCAGGUGAUGAACAUCCUCAUUGGCUGGCACUGUUAUAUGACAUCUUUGGGAUAUGCUACGAUAGGUUGCUCUAGCAAGGAUCGGUUCUCAACUGCAUGCAUCUGGUUAUUCACAUUGUUUUAUGGUGGCGGAAAUGUCCUUUAAUUUGCUAUAUUGCGAUGCUCUU